CUUGGAGGAAUGUAUAGCAAUAGCUAUUUGCGCUAAAAAUAUUUAGUGUAAAAUCGACAAUCUCGAAUAAAAUUCUGGGUAGAAAUAUGAUAAUGACAUAAUCUAUCCAUAAGUCUUGACCAAAUUACGUGCCAGCAGUCGCGGUAAUACGUAGAAGACAAGUGUUAUUCAUCUUUAAUAGGUUUAAAGGGUACUUAGACGGUAAAUAAAGCCUCCAAAAGGUACUAGUUUGCUAGAGUUUUAUGUGAAUGAGUUUUAAAGUACUACUGGUGUAGAGAUGAAAUUCAGUUAUACCUUACAUGGCACAGGUUAAGGCGAAAGCAUCUUUUUAUGUAAAAACUGACGUUGAAGGACGAAGGCUUUGUGUCUCGAACAGGAUUAGAUACCCUAGUAGUCUAAGCAGAAAAUGAUGAAUGUCAUAGAUUAGAUAAGAUUUGAUCUGUAAAUGAAAGUGUAAGCAUUCCACCUCAAGAGUAAUUUGGCAACAUUGGAACUGAAAUCAUUAGACCGUUUCUGAAACCAGUAGUGAAGUAUGUUGUUUAAUUUGAUAAUCCGCAAAAAACCUUACCACAAUUUGAAUAGAUAUAUUUUAUCAUACAAGCGUUGCACGGCUGUCUUCAGUUAAUGUCGUGAGACUUUGGUUAGUUCCAUUAAAUUAACGUAAACCCUUACUUUAUUUUUAUAUAAAGUAGUUCACCGCUAGAUUGGAUGUGAUAAUAGGGAUCAAGACAAGUCAUCAUGACCUAAAUAUUGUGGGCUA
rnacentral:rRNA from 1 species